rnacentral:rRNA from 1 species
UACGAGGGGGGCGAGCGUUGUUCGGAAUUAUUGGGCGUAAAGGGUGCGUAGGCGGUUUGGUAAGUCUGAUGUGAAAUCUAUGGGCUCAACUCAUAGUCUGCAUCGGAAACUGCCGGGCUUGAGUAUGGGAGAGGUGAGUGGAAUUCCUGGUGUAUCGGUGAAAUGCGUAGAUAUCAGGAGGAACACCUGUGGCGAAAGCGGCUCACUGGACCAUAACUGACGCUGAUGCACGAAAGCUAGGGGAGCAAACAGG